GCUUACGGCCAUACCACCCUGAACAUGCCCGAUCUCGUCCGAGCUCGGAAGCUAAGCAGGGUCGGCCUGGUUAGUACUUGGAUGGGAGACCGCUUGGGAAUACCAGGUGCUGUAAGCU
rnacentral:rRNA from 1 species